CAGGGCAGAUCCUGGAGACCCGUGUCCAGCAAGAGGUCCCGUCCGAAUGGGAUAGCUGGGGGCUUGGAGCCUCCAUCACCGCCCCAUUCUUCUGACUUCCGGGAUCCCACCCACCGUCCUAACCUGCUCCCCAGAGCAAGCGCCUUCUUCCUUCACCCUGCAAGUUAUUCCUGUGCCCCAGCACUGCAACAUGAACCAGUAAAUGAGACAAUACUAGCAAGGAGGAGAAGGGGGCAUUAGUUCACGAUCAGCUAGCUGGGGAAAGAAGGAAAGACAAAGAGGUGAGGACCGGAUACACUCUUGAAAGUUACAUCGAACAGAUCACCUGGAAGGAGAACUGGGGAUGAAAUAGGAUGGGCCACUGCAAG